GAUGAACGCUGGCGGCGUGCCUAAUACAUGCAAGUCGAGCGAACAGACGAGAAGCUUGCUUCUCUGAUGUUAGCGGCGGACGGGUGAGUAACACGUGGAUAACCUACCUAUAAGACUGGGAUAACUUCGGGAAACCGGAGCUAAUACCGGAUAAUAUUUUGAACCGCAUGGUUCAAUAGUGAAAGACGGUUUUGCUGUCACUUAUAGAUGGAUCCGCGCUGCAUUAGCUAGUUGGUAAGGUAACGGCUUACCAAGGCAACGAUGCAUAGCCGACCUGAGAGGGUGAUCGGCCACGCUGGAACUGAGACACGGUCCAGACUCCUACGGGAGGCAGCAGUAGGGAAUCUUCCGCAAUGGGCGAAAGCUUGACGGAGCAACGCCGCGUGAGUGAUGAAGGUCUUCGGAUCGUAAAACUCUGUUAUUAGGGAAGAACAAAUGUGUAAGUAACUAUGCACAUCUUGACGGUACCUAAUCAGAAAGCCACGGCUAACUACGUG
rnacentral:rRNA from 1 species